UCAGGAAGGAGAAUGGAAGGGGAAAAGAUGGAGAACCAGAGUAAACCCUCGUGGUGUCCUGGCUUCUAAGCAUUUUGUUGGCAAGAAGGGAUGACCAGGCACCCUGUUCAUCUGCAUGUACAAAGUCUGCAACACAGGUUUUGAUGAGGAGUAAACAAGCUGCUGAACAAGCUGUUUGUCCACACACAAAUAUUGAACUAACAUGACUGGCCAGAUGCACUGAAAAGAGAAUUGAGACACUGAACUCAGAGCACAUGGAGAAAAAGAGAGGGAGAAAGAUUAAAUUUUGUCUAACUGCUCUUGUAUGUUUCCUCAGUUUUGUCUUGAAAGGAGGUAAGAAGAAUAUACUCUCAACUCACCUUUAAGCCACAUCUUACUACCAAGAAACGAAAUCUCAAACCAACCACUCCUCCGUCUCCUGCCUUCUUCCCUGUGUGCCCCUUGGAUAUCUAUGAAAUCAAUGGACUGAGUGCGGGGACUGGUGCUUUGCACACUGACUUAAGACAUUCUUCUUAGGGAAAUGUGAUUUUUUUUUUAUAUAGGGAGAUAUAAACAUGCAUAUGAAUAGGCAAUUUUAUUGCUUGAUUUGAGCAUUAAAUUUUAUUAGUGCAGUGGGUGUGUUUUGUCAUAUCCCUUAUUGUCUGUUAACAGUGAGGAUAAGAGUGUUGUUCUAGCUUGCAUGAAGAGGGACAUUCAGAAUAGUGUUCUGGGGGAGCUCCCUGCAAUAUUGCACCAGAUUUCCAAAGCACCAGUCUCAUGAGUCACAAGUUAUUUGAUGCUCUGUCUAUUUCUGCAAGCAUUACAGGACAGUUGUCUCCUUAUGGGCAAGGAGUACUCAUUAACUCUUUAUCUGGUAUGUGCCUGGUGUACAGUUGGUGCUCAGUAACUAUCUUGAUUUCCAUUUCCUUCUUUUGAUUGUAAUUGCAAUGUUCUCCCCUCUGUCCUGUGCUGCCCUUAGAGAUAGAUCAGGCUUUUUGUGCUUCCUCCAAAGCUCGUGCUUUAUCAUUCACCAAACCAUCCUUCUCUGUGCCCAGGAUAAUGUGUCCAAGGAUGGUGUGUGGCCUUGCUGAUGCAGCAUUCCUUGGAGAGGCUGUCUCCUGUCCAAGGCCCUGUGAGAGCAAAGGUUGGCAGGGUCCCAUCUUGCCACAAUUGACCUCUGUGUGAUCUGCUCAGGAAAUGAAUUGGCAGGCAGGUUGGGAAAUUUUGCAAAAUGAAUAGUCACUUAUAAGGGAUCAGGAGUUGGAGCCAGAGCCCGAGAGAAACUUAUUACCAAACACUAAGACUUAGUGAGAGGUUCCCCAGGAUGCUAACUCCUGUGCUGAGAGCUCUUGUUAAGCUAUUUAAGCCCCUGCAAGAGAGAUGUCUGCAAUCAUAGAAGAAAUGAAGAGUAAUCCUGAGUCAUGGCAGGAGAAGACCCUGGAGCAAGGCGAACGGAGUUCACAUCUGUGCCCUCCACUUACUAGGAAGGCUUUGCGCAGGCUGCUUAAGGUCUCUGAGACUCAGCCUCCAUAAAAUGGGUACCAGAACACCUUUUUCUGUGAGAGGUACAUGAAUUAGUAGGGAUCCGGUGGUGAAUAAAUAAUCUGUUGAAUGAAUGAUUUAAUAUAAAUCACCUUUCCCAGUGCCUAGUUCCUCAUUUAUGCUUUUAAUGAGUGAAUAAAGAAUAUAUUUUUCCUACCAUAAUGCAUCAUAUAUAGUCUGUUUUUAAAAAUAAAAAGUUAGCUCUUUCCCCCACUAAAAUUUCACCCUCUUCAACUUCUUUUCUUUCGUGAUUUGUAAUGUCUGGCCCAGAGAAAGGAAAUGAUCCUGUGAAGGUCACAGAGAGCCAGCAAGUCAAAACUCGGUCUACUGCCC
rnacentral:lncRNA from 10 species